GCUGGGUACGGUGCUGCAUGCCUGUAAUCCCAGUGACCAGUGAGGCUCAGGCAGGAGGAUCACAAGUUCAAAGCCAGCCUCAGCAAUUUGGCCAGGCCCUAAGCAACUUAGAGAGACCCUGUCUGAA
rnacentral:sRNA from 1 species